rnacentral:rRNA from 1 species
GUUGUUGGGUAGGGGAGCGUUCUGUAAGCCUGUGAAGGUGUGUCGUGAGGCAUGCUGGAGGUAUCAGAAGUGCGAAUGCUGACAUAAGUAACGAUAAAGCGGGUGAAAAGCCCGCUCGCCGGAAGACCAAGGGUUCCUGUCCAACGUUAAUCGGGGCAGGGUGAGUCGACCCCUAAGGCGAGGCCGAAAGGCGUAGUCGAUGGGAAACGGGUUAAUAUUCCCGUACUUGGUGUUACUGCGAAGGGGGGACGGAGAAGGCUAUGUUGGCCGGGCGACGGUUGUCCCGGUUUAAGCGUGUAGGUGUGUGUUCCAGGUAAAUCCGGUUCACUUUAACACUGAGGCGUGACGACGAGGCACUACGGUGCUGAAGCAACAAAUGCCCUGCUUCCAGGAAAAGCCUCUAAGCAUCAGGUAACAUCAAAUCGUACCCCAAACCGACACAGGUGGUCAGGUAGAGAAUACCAAGGCGCUUGAGAGAACUCGGGUGAAGGAACUAGGCAAAAUGGUGCCGUAACUUCGGGAGAAGGCACGCUGACACGUAGGUGAAGUGAUUUACUCAUGGAGCUGAAGUCAGUCGAAGAUACCAGCUGGCUGCAACUGUUUAUUAAAAACACAGCACUGUGCAAACACGAAAGUGGACGUAUACGGUGUGACGCCUGCCCGGUGCCGGAAGGUUAAUUGAUGGGGUCAGCGCAAGCGAAGCUCCUGAUCGAAGCCCCGGUAAACGGCGGCCGUAACUAUAACGGUCCUAAGGUAGCGAAAUUCCUUGUCGGGUAAGUUCCGACCUGCACGAAUGGCGUAAUGAUGGCCAGGCUGUCUCCACCCGAGACUCAGUGAAAUUGAACUCGCUGUGAAGAUGCAGUGUACCCGCGGCAAGACGGAAAGACCCCGUGAACCUUUACUAUAGCUUGACACUGAACAUUGAGCCUUGAUGUGUAGGAUAGGUGGGAGGCUUUGAAGUGUGGACGCCAGUCUGCAUGGAGCCGACCUUGAAAUACCACCCUUUAAUGUUUGAUGUUCUAACGUGGACCCGUUACCCGGGUUGCGGACAGUGUCUGGUGGGUAGUUUGACUGGGGCGGUCUCCUCCUAAAGAGUAACGGAGGAGCACGAAGGUUGGCUAAUCCUGGUCGGACAUCAGGAGGUUAGUGCAAUGGCAUAAGCCAGCUUGACUGCGAGCGUGACGGCGCGAGCAGGUGCGAAAGCAGGUCAUAGUGAUCCGGUGGUUCUGAAUGGAAGGGCCAUCGCUCAACGGAUAAAAGGUACUCCGGGGAUAACAGGCUGAUACCGCCCAAGAGUUCAUAUCGACGGCGGUGUUUGGCACCUCGAUGUCGGCUCAUCACAUCCUGGGGCUGAAGUAGGUCCCAAGGGUAUGGCUGUUCGCCAUUUAAAGUGGUACGCGAGCUGGGUUUAGAACGUCGUGAGACAGUUCGGUCCCUAUCUGCCGUGGGCGCUGGAGAACUGAGGGGGGCUGCUCCUAGUACGAGAGGACCGGAGUGGACGCAUCACUGGUGUUCGGGUUGUCAUGCC